rnacentral:lncRNA from 1 species
AAAAAAUCUGUGAAGAUAUGAGCAGAGGCAGGAAUGAAGAAGCAGAGAUCAUGCAAGGUGUUUCCAUCCAAAAGUAGGCGUCUCAUGUCAUCUGCUCUGGCCAGUAUUUAACCUUGAGAAAAGAAGAAGUGUAGAGAUGAUGUACUUGCCUGAGGGAUGGAUUAAAAAGUCUUUGGUCUUCUCUGAACGGUACUACUGAAUUUAUCCUCAUCACCAUCAUCAUUGUCAUUGUCAUCAUCAUCAUGAAAACAGACCAUGUACAAAUCCAAGCCUG